rnacentral:rRNA from 1 species
GGAUGCGAUCAUACCAGCACUAAAGCGCCGGAUCCCAUCAGAACUCCGAAGUUAAGCGUGCUUGGGCGAGAGUAGUACUAGGAUGGGUGACCUCCUGGGAAGUCCUCGUGUUGCAUUCC